CCUACGGGUGGCUGCAGUGGGGAAUAUUGGACAAUGGGCGAAAGCCCGAUCCAGCCAUGCCGCGUGUGUGAAGAAGGCCUUCGGGUUGUAAAGCACUUUCAGUGGGGAAGAAAGCCUUGGGGCUAAUACCCUCGAGGAAGGACAUCACCCACAGAAGAAGCACCGGCUAACUCCGUGCCAGCAGCCGCGGUAAUACGGAGGGUGCGAGCGUUAAUCGGAAUUACUGGGCGUAAAGCGCGCGUAGGCGGUCUGAUAAGCCGGUUGUGAAAGCCCCGGGCUCAACCUGGGAACGGCAUCCGGAACUGUCAGGCUAGAGUGCAGGAGAGGAAGGUAGAAUUCCCGGUGUAGCGGUGAAAUGCGUAGAGAUCGGGAGGAAUACCAGUGGCGAAGGCGGCCUUCUGGACUGACACUGACGCUGAGGUGCGAAAGCGUGGGUAGCAAACAGGAUUAGAUACCCGGGUAGUC
rnacentral:rRNA from 1 species